rnacentral:rRNA from 1 species
AUGAACGCUGGCGGCGUGCUUAACACCUGCAAGUCGCACGGAAAGGCUCCUGCUUGCAGGGGUACUCGAGUGGCGAACGGGUGAGUAACACGUGGGUGAUCUGCCCUGCACUUCGGGAUAAGCCUGGGAAACUGGGUCUAAUACCGGAUAGGACGAUGGUUUGGAUGCCAUUGUGGAAAGUUUUUCGGUGUGGGAUGAGCUCGCGGCCUAUCAGCUUGUUGGUGGGGUAAUGGCCUACCAAGGCGUCGACGGGUAGCCGGCCUGAGAGGGUGUACGGCCACAUUGGGACUGAGAUACGGCCCAGACUCCUACGGGAGGCAGCAGUGGGGAAUAUUGCACAAUGGGCGCAAGCCUGAUGCAGCGACGCCGCGUGGGGGAUGACGGCCUUCGGGUUGUAAACUCCUUUCGCUAGGGACGAAGCGCAAGUGACGGUACCUGGAGAAGAAGCACCGGCUAACUACGUG